CGUAGGUACAUACAAAGGAGUAUACAUACUCCACUUUAUUCCCUUAUAAAAGAAGUUUACAACCCAUAGGGCAGUCAUCCUUCACGCUACUUGGCUGGUUCAGGCUCUCGCCCAUUGACCAAUAUUCCUCACUGCUGCCUCCCGUAGGA
rnacentral:rRNA from 1 species